UGGGGAAUUUUGGACAAUGGGGGAAACCCUGAUUCAGCCAUCCCGCGUGUGCGAUGAAGGCCUUCGGGUUGUAAAGCACUUUUGGCAGGAAAGAAACGUCAUGGGUUAAUACCCCGUGAAACUGACGGUACCUGCAGAAUAAGCACCGGCUAACUACGUGCCAGCAGCCGCGGUAAUACGUAGGGUGCAAGCGUUAAUCGGAAUUACUGGGCGUAAAGCGUGCGCAGGCGGUUCGGAAAGAAAGAUGUGAAAUCCCAGAGCUCAACUUUGGAACUGCAUUUUUAACUACCGGGCUAGAGUGUGUCAGAGGGAGGUAGAAUUCCGCGUGUAGCAGUGAAAUGCGUAGAUAUGCGGAGGAACACCGAUGGCGAAGGCAGCCUCCUGGGAUAACACUGACGCUCAUGCACGAAAGCGUGGGGAGCAAACAGG
rnacentral:rRNA from 1 species